rnacentral:rRNA from 1 species
UACGAAGGGGGCUAGCGUUGCUCGGAAUCACUGGGCGUAAAGCGCACGUAGGCGGACUCUUAAGUCGGUGGUGAAAUCCUGGAGCUCAACUCCAGAACUGCCUUCGAUACUGAGAGUCUCGAGUCCGGGAGAGGUGAGUGGAAUUCCUGGUGUAGCGGUGGAAUGCGCAGAUAUCAGGAGGAACACCAAUAGCGAAGGCAGCUCGCUGGGACGGUACUGACGCUAAGGCGCGAAAGCGUGGGGAGCGAACAGG